rnacentral:rRNA from 1 species
GGCCCAGAUCGUUUACCGUGAAAAAAUUAGAGUGUUCAAAGCAGGCAGAUCCAAUUUUCUGCCACCGAAUACAUUAGCAUGGGAUAAUGGAAUAGGACCCUGUCCUCCUAUUUUCAGUUGGUUUUGGCAGCGCGAGGACUAGGGUAAUGAUUAAUAGGGAUAGUUGGGGGCAUUAAUAUUUAAUUGUCAGAGGUGAAAUUCUUGGAUUUAUGAAAGAUUAACUUCUGCGAAAGCAUCUGCCAAGGAUGUUUUCAUUAAUCAAGAACGAAAGUUAGGGGAUCGAAGACGAUCAGAUACCGUCGUAGUCUUAACCAUAAACGAUGCCGACCAGCGAUUAGGAGACGUUGAAUACAAAACACCACCAUCGGUGCGGUCGUCCUUGGCGUCUCGGUCCUUCACGGGGCCGGGGCGCGGGGGUGGCUUAGCCCGGUGGCACCGGUGAAUGACUCCCCUAGCAGCUUGUGAGAA